rnacentral:rRNA from 1 species
GCAAGUCGAGGGGUAACAGAGGUAGCUUGCUACUUGCUGACGACCGGCGCACGGGUGCGUAAAGCGUAUGAAACCUCCUUUAUACAGGGCGCUAGCCCAGAGAAAUUUGGAUUAAUACCCCAUGGUACUGUGAUCUUGCAUGAGAUUAUAGUUAAAGAUUUAUCGGUAUAAGAUGGUCAUGCGUUCUAUUAGUUAGUUGGUAAGGUAACGGCUUACCAAGACUGCGAUAGAUAGGGGCCCUGAGAGGGGGAUC